rnacentral:rRNA from 1 species
GACGAACGCUGGCGGCGUGCCUAAUGCAUGCAAGUCGUACGCAGCGUGCUUCGGUACGUUGAGUGGCGCACGGCUGAGGAACACGUGGGAACCUGCCUCCUUGUGGGGGACAACAGCGCGAAAGCGCUGCUAAUCCCGCAUACGCUCGUGGUGACACGAGGAAAGACAGUAAUGCGCAGGGAGAAGGGCCCGCGGCCCAUCAGGUCGUCGGUGGGGUAACGGCCACCGAGCCGAUGACGGGUAGCUGGUCUGUGAGGACAGACAGCCAGACUGGGACUGAGACACGGCCCAGACUCCUACGGGAGGCAGCAGCAAGGAAUUUUCGUCAAUGGGCGCAAGCCUGAACGAGCAACGCCGCGUGGAGGAUGACGGCCUCGGUGUAA